rnacentral:rRNA from 1 species
GAGAGUUUGAUCCUGGCUCAGGAUGAACGCUAGCUACAGGCUUAACACAUGCAAGUCGAGGGGCAGCAUGGUCUUAGCUUGCUAAGGCCGAUGGCGACCGGCGCACGGGUGAGUAACACGUAUCCAACCUGCCGUCUACUCUUGGACAGCCUUCUGAAAGGAAGAUUAAUACAAGAUGGCAUCAUGAGUCCGCAUGUUCACAUGAUUAAAGGUAUUCCGGUAGACGAUGGGGAUGCGUUCCAUUAGAUAGUAGGCGGGGUAACGGCCCACCUAGUCUUCGAUGGAUAGGGGUUCUGAGAGGAAGGUCCCCCACAUUGGAACUGAGACACGGUCCAAACUCCUACGGGAGGCAGCAGUGAGGAAUAUUGGUCAAUGGGCGAGAGCCUGAACCAGCCAAGUAGCGUGAAGGAUGACUGCCCUAUGGGUUGUAAACUUCUUUUAUAAAGGAAUAAAGUCGGGUAUGGAUACCCGUUUGCAUGUACUUUAUGAAUAAGGAUCGGCUAACUCCGUGCCAGCAGCCGCGGUAAUACGGAGGAUCCGAGCGUUAUCCGGAUUUAUUGGGUUUAAAGGGAGCGUAGAUGGAUGUUUAAGUCAGUUGUGAAAGUUUGCGGCUCAACCGUAAAAUUGCAGUUGAUACUGGAUAUCUUGAGUGCAGUUGAGGCAGGCGGAAUUCGUGGUGUAGCGGUGAAAUGCUUAGAUAUCACGAAGAACUCCGAUUGCGAAGGCAGCCUGCUAAGCUGCAACUGACAUUGAGGCUCGAAAGUGUGGGUAUCAAACAGGAUUAGAUACCCUGGUAGUCCACACGGUAAACGAUGAAUACUCGCUGUUUGCGAUAUACUGCAAGCGGCCAAGCGAAGGCGUUAAGUAUUCCACCUGGGGAGUACGCCGGCAACGGUGAAACUCAAAGGAAUUGACGGGGGCCCGCACAAGCGGAGGAACAUGUGGUUUAAUUCGAUGAUACGCGAGGAACCUUACCCGGGCUUAAAUUGCAGAUGAAUUACGGUGAAAGCCGUAAGCCGCAAGGCAUCUGUGAAGGUGCUGCAUGGUUGUCGUCAGCUCGUGCCGUGAGGUGUCGGCUUAAGUGCCAUAACGAGCGCAACCCUUGUUGUCAGUUACUAACAGGUUCUGCUGAGGACUCUGACAAGACUGCCAUCGUAAGAUGUGAGGAAGGUGGGGAUGACGUCAAAUCAGCACGGCCCCUACGUCCGGGGCUACACACGCGUUACAAUGGGAGGUACAGAGGGCCGCUACCACGCGAGUGGAUGCCAAUCCCAAAAACCUCUCUCAGUUCGGACUGGAGUCUGCAACCCGACUCCACGAAGCUGGAUUCGCUAGUAAUCGCGCAUCAGCCACGGCGCGGUGAAUACGUUCCCGGGCCUUGUACACACCGCCCGUCAAGCCAUGGGAGCCGGGGGUACCUGAAGUGCGUAACCGCGAGGAGCGCCCUAGGGUAAAACUGGUGACUGGGGCUAAGUCGUAACAAGGUAGCCG